rnacentral:piRNA from 1 species
AGGCUAAGGGAUUCAGGACUCUCUUGAGAC